GACGCUGGCGGCGUGCCUAACACAUGCAAGUCAACGGGGCGAUUCCUUCGGGGAUUGCUUAGUGGCGAACGGGUGAGUAACGCGUGAGGAACCUGCCUUUCAGUGGGGGGACAACAGUUGGAAACGACUGCUAAUACCGCAUAACAUGUACGGAUCGCAUGGUCUGUACAUCAAAGCUUUAUGUGCUGAAAGAUGGCCUCGCGUCUGAUUAGCUAGUUGGUGGGGGUAACGGCCCCACCAAGGCGACGAUCAGUAGCCGGUCUGAGAGGAUGAACGGCCACAUUGGGACUGAGAUACGGCCCCAGACUCCUACGGGAGGCAGCAGUGGGGAAUAUUGGGCAAUGGGGGAAACCCUGACCCAGCAACGCCGCGUGAAGGAAGAAGGCCCUCGGGUUGUAAACUUCUUUUACCAGGGACGAACAAGAUGACGGUACCUGGAGAAAAAGCAACGGCUAACUACGUG
rnacentral:rRNA from 1 species